rnacentral:rRNA from 1 species
UACGAAGGGUGCAAGCGUUACUCGGAAUUACUGGGCGUAAAGCGUGCGUAGGUGGUUCGUUAAGUCUGAUGUGAAAGCCCUGGGCUCAACCUGGGAAUGGCAUUGGAAACUGGCGACCUAGAGUGCGGUAGAGGGUAGUGGAAUUCCACGUGUAGCAGUGAAAUGCGUAGAGAUGUGGAGGAACACCGAUGGCGAAGGCAGCCUCCUGGGCCAGCACUGACGCUCAUGCACGAAAGCGUGGGGAGCAAACAGG